rnacentral:rRNA from 1 species
UUUGAAGGGGGCACCGUAUCCAUCAAUGCCGCGUGAGUGAAGAAGGCCUUCGGGUUGUAAAGCUCUUCUGUCAGGGAAGAAACACCGGCUCUAACACAGUCCGGGAAUGACGGUACCUGAAGAAUAAGCACCGGCUAACUACGUGCCAGCAGCCGCGGUAAUACGUAGGGUGCGAGCGUUAAUCGGAAUUACUGGGCGUAAAGCGUGCGCAGGCGGUUAUACAAGACAGGCGUGAAAUCCCCGGGCUUAACCUGGGAAUGGCGCCUGUGACUGUAUAGCUAGAGUGUGUCAGAGGGGGGUAGAAUUCCACGUGUAGCAGUGAAAUGCGUAGAUAUGUGGAGGAAUACCAAUGGCGAAGGCAGCCCCCUGGGAUAACACUGACGCUCAUGCACGAAAGCGUGGGGAGCAAACAGGAUUAGAUACCCUGGUAGACCACGCCCUAAACGAUGCUGACUAGUUGUUCGGGAUUUACAUCCUGAGUAACGUAGCUAACGCGUGAAGUCAGCCGCCUGGGGAGUACGGUCGCAAGAUUAAAACUCAAAGGAAUUGACGGGGACCCGCACAAGCGGUGGAUGAUGUGGAUUAAUUCGAUGCAACGCGAAAAACUUUACUAACCUUGACAUGUCACUAACGAA